rnacentral:rRNA from 1 species
GAUGAACGCUGGCGGCGUGCCUAAUACAUGCAAGUCGAACGAGGUGCUUUUGUAGCAAUACGGAAGUAUCCUAGUGGCGAACGGGUGAGUAACGCGUUGGUGACCUGUCCCAAAGUGUGGGAUAACAGUCCGAAAGGAUUGCUAAUACCGCAUGUGGUCCCCGGGUUUAGAAACCGGUGACUAAAGGAGCAAUUCGCUUUGGGAGGACCUGCGUCCCAUCAGCUAGUUGGUGAGGUAAUGGCUCACCAAGGCGACGACGGGUAGGGGACCUGAGAGGGUGGCCCCCCACAAUGGAACUGAAACACGGUCCAUACACCUACGGGAGGCAG